UUCAAUGAUGACAAAGGGCUCAGCCCGAUAUUAUAACCCAGCUCUUCGAAAGCCUCACCAAUUACAACGCUUAGAGGUCUUACUGAGAUGACGUCCUGUCUGAUUAU
rfam:Diplodia corticola strain CBS 112549 scaffold4, whole genome shotgun sequence.